UACGGGGGGAGCAAGCGUUGUUCGGAUUUACUGGGCGUAAAGGGCGCGUAGGCGGUCAGCACAAGUCAGUUGUGAAAUCUCCGGGCUUAACUCGGAAAGGUCAACUGAUACUGUGCGACUAGAGUGCGGAAGGGGCAACUGGAAUUCUCGGUGUAGCGGUGAAAUGCGUAGAUAUCGAGAAGAACACCUGCGGCGAAGGCGGGUUGCUGGGCCGACACUGACGCUGAUGCGCGAAAGCCAGGGGAGCGAACGGG
rnacentral:rRNA from 1 species